UCGAACCCAUAUCUCCUGCAUUGGCAGGUGGAUUCUUUACCGCUGAGCCACCCUGGAAGCCCCUUGAGUCCUGUUACCCCUCAAAGCAAAGGGUCUUGACGUCACGCCCCCGCCCUGCCCCUUCUCAGCAGGUCGAGUCCCAGACGCUUGCCAUGUUCCGUGACAUCACGCAGCAGCUCCAGACCACCUGUGCCUCUCUGGGCUCCAGCCUCCAGGGUCUGCCUGCCCACAUCAAGGACCAGGCACUACAGGCUCGCCAGCAGGUCGAGGACCUCCAAGCCACCUUCUCUGGCAUCCACUCCUUCCAGGAUCUGUCCAGCAGCGUCCUGACGCGGAGCCGCGAGCAGGUGGCCAGGGCCCGAGAGGCCCUGGACCACUUGGUGGAGUAUGUGGCCCAGAACACACCCAUCACGUGGCUGGUGGGCCCCUUCGCCCCCGGAAUCGUCGAGAAGGCCCCAGAAAAGAAGAAAUAGGAGAGGCUGGAGGAGGACUCAGAGGGCUCUGGCCUUCUCCGAGGGGCCGGCGAGUGACCAGGGACCCCUCACUGGGAACACACCUCAGGAAGCUGAGGUCCUCAAAUCUGACCCGUCCCUCAUCCUCUCCAAGCUUGGAGGAAGCGUGUCCUGAGCAUCACAUCCAUCAUCAGGACAAGAUUUCCAGGAAAAGAAAUUUUUUUUUUCUAGAAGGUUCCAAUUUUUUUUUUUCUUCCUUGAAAACCAGGAAUAUAGUUCUUACGUCCCACACCCUUUUUCUACAUUGAGUCCCCGGGUUAUCAGCCUUAAGCUAGUGGACUUGGAUCGCUGGGAGGUGGGCCUCUUAGGGGUGAGGUGGGGGCAGGGCAGCUGACACUCGGUCUGGAGCAGGAGGGGGCUCAGGCCUGCGCAGUGAGCCCUGGGUGCGGGAGGCUUCAGAUUUGCCUUAAUAAAUUUUACCUGCAAAGUCCAGGCCUUGUAUA